rnacentral:rRNA from 1 species
GGAGCGAACCUGGUGACUGAAAUAUCUAAGUAACCAGAGGAAAAGAAAUCAACCGAGAUUCCGUAAGUAGCGACGAGCGAACGCGGACUAGCCCUUAAGCUGAUUUGGUUCUAGGAAAACGCUCUGGAAAGAGCGGCCAUAGAAGGUGAUAGCCCUGUAUCUGAAAGGGCCAUUUCAGUGAAGACGAGUAGGGCGGGGCACGUGAAACCCUGUCUGAACAUGGGGGGACCAUCCUCCAAGGCUAAAUACUACUGACCGACCGAUAGUGAACCAGUACCGUGAGGGAAAGGCGAAAAGAACCCCGGAGAGGGGAGUGAAAUAGAACCUGAAACCGUGUGCGUACAAGCAGUAGGAGCUCCGCAAGGAGUGACUGCGUACCUUUUGUAUAAUGGGUCAGCGACUUACUGUUCGUGGCAAGCUUAACCGUAUAGGGGAGGCGAAGGGAAACCGAGUCUGAUAAGGGCGCAUAGUCGCGGGCAGUAGACCCGAAACCGGGUGAUCUAGUCAUGCCCAGGGUGAAGGUGCGGUAACACGCACUGGAGGCCCGAACCCACUCCCGUUGCAAAGGUAGGGGAUGAGGUGUGAUUAGGAGUGAAAAGCUAAUCGAACCCGGAGAUAGCUGGUUCUCCUCGAAAGCUAUUUAGGUAGCGCCUCAUAUGUAUCCUCUCGGGGGUAGAGCACUGUUAUGGCUAGGGGGUCAUCGCGACUUACCAAACCAUUGCAAACUCCGAAUACCGAGACGGACUGUAUGGGAGACACACGGCGGGUGCUAACGUCCGUCGUGAAAAGGGAAACAACCCAGACCCCACAGCUAAGGUCCCAAAUUUUGUGCUAAGUGGAAAACCCAUGUGGAAAGGCACAGACAGCCAGGGAGGUUGGGCUUAGAAAGCAGCCACCCCUUUAAAGAAAGCGGUAAAUAGCUCACUGGUCGAGUCGGUCUGC